rnacentral:misc_RNA from 1 species
CGAAUUUGACCAUGGGUCAAGUUCCAACAAUUCUGGCUUUGAUCAGCAGAUUUAUUGGAACAACAUUCUCAAUCAAGUAGAAACUCAGAAUUUGCCGAACUAUCUGUUAUCUCCCACAGAUGAAAAUAUGUCAUAUAUGAAUACGGCCAACCAUGAAGAUGCUGGCAUGAGUAUCUGGAGUCCUGGCGGACCAAGUUCGAGUGCACACCCACCAAACCUAGGCAGGCAUGACGAAACCAAAAUGGAGCAUGAGUGGACAUCUCUGACAAUCAAUG